AACCUUUACAAUGCGCGAAAGCGCGAUAAGGGAACCCUGAGUGCCAGCACAUGGUGUUGGCUGUCCAGCUGUUUAAAAGCAGCUGUUAG
rnacentral:rRNA from 1 species